rnacentral:rRNA from 1 species
GACAGAGGGUGCGAACGUUGCUCGGAAUUACUGGGCGUAAAGCGCGUGUAGGCGGGUGAUCAAGUCAGAUGUGAAAUCCCUGGGCUCAACCCAGGAACUGCAUUUGAAACUGGUCGCCUGGAGUAUUGGAGAGGGAAGCGGAAUUCCUGGUGUAGAGGUGAAAUUCGUAGAUAUCAGGAGGAACACCGGUGGCGAAGGCGGCUUCCUGGACAAUUACUGACGCUGAGACGCGAAAGCGUGGGGAGCAAACAGG